rnacentral:lncRNA from 1 species
CUCUUUGCAGUCAGACAGCUUCCUGUUUAAGUUCUUGCUCCCUUCUGCUUUCAACAGCUUCCAGAGGCUCCGGCUGAGCCUCUCGCAGUAUUUGUGAGCCUUGUACAGGAUCCCACCUGAGGCUGAUCCUGCUCUAGGUCUUUUAAGGAAACCGUUCAUCUCCCACCAGUUUUCAGCUGGAAGAAAAAAAAAAGCUACCGUCGCCGUCAGUCUGUAACCACGCCCACAGGAAUGACAUCCCUCGGAGGCCACGCCCCGCUCACCUGUCCGCCUCGUUCUGCGAGAGAGAGGGGAGCUGGGUGAGUUUGCUCCGCGUCUUUAGUUUUAUUUUUAUUUUAUUGUAAAUAAAAUUUAAC